UCUCUAUGAAGCCGGGGUCGAUCAAGGAGGGAGCGGGGUCCCGAGGUAGAGGGACUGGGGCCGGCUGAGGGUGAACUGGGGGACCCUGUGGUGGCGCCUGCUGAUGGGGUGGGGGCACUGGAAUGUGCUGUGGCGGUACCUGUUGGUACUGUGGCUGGGGUACCAGGUCGUACCGCGGCUGUGGUGCCGGGUGGUACUGUGGAGGAACAGGCUCCUGCCGGGGUGGCUCGGGAUCAGCCUGCUGUAACGGGGGCUCAACCUGCGCUAGCGGGGGAGGUCCGGGUAACUCCCUUCUCUCCUCUUGCCUUCGCUGAGCAGCUACGAGAGCUUCCACCAUCUCAUAUAAUCUGUCCAAAUCCUCCCGAAGCGAAUUAUCUUGGGCCGCUAGGUU
rnacentral:lncRNA from 1 species